GUUAACUCCACCUCUAGAGACUGUCUACCAGACAGCCACUAGAGGCACUUCCGGGCUGUUAGGCGUCUUUUGGUCAUCUGACACUGGAUAUUCUCAUGAUAUGCAUGAGGACAUCCAGUGUCCGCUAAAACCCCAUGGAAAAGCAGUGAUUCAAUGCUUUCUUUCAUAUGUGGUUGUCCUAAUGCGAUCGCAGCACUCACCACGCAUGUGAUCUCAGACAUUGCGAGAGGAGGUGGAGUCUAACCCAGUGGUAAGACAUCCGUGUUUGAGGAAUAUAAGUGACAGAAUGGAUUUUAACCCUUUAUGUGGCGUGGACGGAGGACCAAGCUAGGGGGGUAUGAUAGGGUACUAUAGUGCUAGGUAUAUAAUUUUGGAUUACUAGCCUAUAGUACCCCUAUAAAGGGACAGGGUCACUGCGCCCAGGACACUUCAAUUAGUUGGGGUUUGGGUUAGUGGUUAUAGCUAUUUUAGGGUUAGGCAUAUUGUUAGUGUAAGCAUAGUUGUAGGGUUGGUAUAUGGAUAAGGGAGCUUCAGUGGCCGAACUACCACGAUCACAGGUGCAAUCGGCCUAUCACUCCAGGGGGCCGGCCACCCAGUGGACCCCUGCGACCCGGGUGCAUGCCAGCCAUGUAAUGUGGUCCAGGCCCACGCGUUCAGGGACCCAUGCUACCGGAAUGCAAUAAAUUUCCUGGGGGCUUGAAUGAAUUUAACAGCGUGACCGGGCCCCCUGUGAUGUCAG